CGGAUCUGUGGGGCCCUGUUUCUUCUUCCUUUUCCCAGCAGGCCCCCUCGACCUUUUAGUCUUUGUUCAAAACCCCUUUGGGACCACUCCUAGGAACAUUCUGUGAAGUGAAUCUGUGUUAGGGAAACAAUGUGAAGUGUGUGUGUGUGUGUGUGUGUGUGGUGGUUGUGAGCAGAGCCGACAGUCAAGGGAUUUGUAAUCCACUUACAGUGGUUUCCCGAGCAACCUGUGUGGAUGACAAAAGCUGCUUUCAGUAACCGGAGUGAAAACAUCUGAUUGGAAUAGUGGCCAAUGAUGGUGAAUUAGCAUACCAGGCUUGUCUACAGGGACCCACUUGGUCAAUUUGUGUAGUCACAGAAACAUCCCGAUUCUGUUUCUCCUGAAUGCAGCCCCAUACCAUCAACACGUAGCAAAUCUCUCACAGCAGAAGAUCUUGCCAGAAGGCUGAGCACCCAGGCUUCCGUGAUGGCCGCAGUUGCCUGUGCAGUUGUACCCAGGAUAACUCUGGUUCUCGGUGGUGGUUUUGGCAGUGAAAGCGAUGCCAUGGGGUCAAGAAAGUGCCCAGCCUUGGAGUAAGACCAUCCUUUGCAACCAUCAUCAGCAAGGCUCAAGAGAGUGCCAGUGGCCUCAAAUGAAGACUGCUCUUCUACAGGACUCAUCUCUGUCAGUAGGAGCCAGGUGUGAGGCUCUGAACAGUUCCUGCCUCUGGCAAGACACCCCCGUACCUUCCUCUCCUAAACACUCACAACCUCUCAAUUUGUGUGCUUUAGUGUGGGAAAUCUUUUGAUCCUGAAAUCUUAUUCCUACGGCCCAGUGCAAGGAUUGCUCUUGUAGAUGGGAGAUACCCCUUUGCUCACCUUCUGGAAGGAGAAGAAGAUAUGCAUAUGGAUGAAUCCAAGUUAAAGGAACUUGGGAAAGAAAAUGGUUUUCCCAUUGACGCUGAAUUUUACCAGAGUUGGAGUACCUUAGAAGAUCCCUUAGGGAGUGUUUUUCUGUAUAACCCCAAUCGCUGAUGCUCCUCCUAUCAGGUUUACAGAAGAAAGCACUGCAUUUUAUUCUUCAACUAGACCGUGGGCUGAUGGAGUAACACUGCCACAGAAUUCUCAGCAGAAACAUAUCUUGCUAGAAUGUGCUCAGGAUUUUUUGAACAGUCCGUGAAAGGUGACAGGGAUGUUAAUCUCCACUUCAGCCCUGGCGACUUCGCUCAAGUCCUUGGCAUUCAGAAUCAGGAGACACGUUUGUCCUUUGACCCAGCAGUGCCCCUUCUGAGAAUCUCUCCUAUUGAUAUGUCUGCACGUCUAUGAAAUAACACACAUACAAAGUUACUCCUUGUAACAUUAUCUGUAGAAGCCAAACACUGGAAACAACUCUGCUGCUGAGCAGUGAGAGGCUUGGGUAAGUUCACAAAAAGAAUACUGUGUAGUCGAAAAAAGCAAGAUCUUCAGUAUAUAUUUUUAAAUGAAAAAAAGCAAGGAACAAAGCAGUGGACAUAGAAAUCCACUUUUUGGUAAGAGAAUGGGAAAUAACAAUUAUAUAUAAAUUUGUAUUUUCUUAUAUUUGCAUGAGCAAACCAAGGAAAAGGAAGACAUUAAUGAAAGUUACACUUGGGAACGGAAUGGGUGCAGACGAAGACCGGACUGACACUUCCCAGCGAAUAUGCCUUUUUAUAUCAUUUUGAUUUCUCCACCAUUUACACGCACUGCCUAUUCAAAAAUGAUAAAGAUAUAUGUUAAAGAUACUACCACCGUCUUAACCAGUCAACUGGAAACUUCAGUCAUCUUAUACUCUUUCCUCUCCUGAGCCCUUCCCUUGAUCUGUUUAUUAUCUCUCCUUAUCCUAGUUUACGACCUAUUUUUCCCUUCACUGGCAAACUUUGGAAAGUACAGAGUACAGUACCUGCUCCCACAGGCUCACCAGAUGCCCACCUUUAGUGCCUUGAAACCUGAUUUCGACCUCUCUCGUCCUGCUCCCCUGGACAUCACCACAUCUGGUGUCUGGUCCCUAGUCUCCAUCCCUUCCAGCUUGUCUGUGGCAGUGGGCACCAACGACACCCUCUGCCCUGUCCUGAGUGGCCUCACCCUCUCUUAGCUGUAAUUAGGGCUCUUUGGUGACUUUUUCUUUUUCUGGCUGCUCUUUUUCUACCACUUUCUGCACGUGAGCGUUUCCCAAACUUCUGUGCUUGGUCAUCUUUUCUUCUCUCUAAGCAUUUUCUGGCUAUCAGAUUCCUCGUUUUUAAAAUAAGCAAAUGUUUAUGUUUCUUUUAGAAAACUUACUCUAAAGUAUGAAUUUUUUUCCUGCUAGCAGUCUCGUCUAUCUGUUCUCACGCAUUUGAUCAUCAUUUCAAUACCAAUAAUUAUCAGUUCUUUUCUUCCAACCCUUAUUUCUCUCACAAGGUCCUGCACUUGCAUAAGAAAGCCUACAAGACUUCCUCAUGAAGAUGUUGUAGAUAUUACUUUUGUUGUUGAUGAUGGUGAUGAUAACAAAUAUUUAUUUAACACUUGCUUUGUGCUAGGGGCUGUAUUUAGUGAUUGACAUAUUAUCACCUCAUUUACUGAUCACAACAACACUAUAAGAUGGAUAUAGAUAAAGAAAAGGAAAUCUAAGAAGCUUAAAUGUUUUUCUUUGUACAUAGAGAAAGAGAAUUUAAGGUUAAAUCAAAGAGCCAGUAAGUGGCAGAGCUGAAAUUCAAGUUCGGGUCUGUUUGACUUGAAUCGGCUGCGUACCCAUGAUCCCUGCUUCUCAGAGUUCCUUGGUUCAUAUUUAUCUCCAGACCUGCUCUGCCUGUUACAGUCCCUACUUUGAAAGAUAUCGCUACUUUAGACACGAAGGCUUAAAGGAUCUCAGUGACCUUUUGCAGGUCUAAGACUUCAUCCAUUCUGCCGUCCAAUCAAACGUGAGAGGCUUUUAAUUCCACCUGCAGCAACUCUCCCUUUUGGCAGCGUUGGUAGGUUCCCACUAUCACUGCAUUUUUCUCUCACCUGAGGAGUUUUAAUUGUCUCCUCUGCCAGGUCCCUAUCUCCAUCCUUUCUCCACUUAUACUUAUACCCAGUUCUACUUAUACCCAACACAGCCUUAAUGUGGAAAAUCAGAGUACUAAAGCUGCAGCUGACCUUAGUAAUUAUUUAGUCUAAUAUACUUAGGUUUCAGAGCAGGCAACUGAACUUGAGAGUGACUGAGGGACUUGCUCAGAGAAGACAGACAUUUAGUCAUAGAGACAACCACAGAAGGUCAGUACACUUGACACCCAGCCCACCAGCUCUGAACAUGGUUUUCUUCUGUUCAAAACCUGCAUUGUCCCCCAUCACCUGCCAAAUACAGUACAAACUCUUCACCUGGCCUUAUGCCUUCAGAGAUUACCAACCUAUUUUUAUAGCUCUUUUCCCCAUUGAUUCCACUACUUUUGCUUAUGUCCUAACCAGUUGGAUUGCAAUCAAUUCCCUCUGCUUUUCUGCCCCUCCCCACUUCUCUGUCUUUCCUUGAACUAUUCCUCCUGUCUUCAGUUGUUCUGCUUCAGUCCCAUCUCUUCUGCCAAAAUACUGCAAAUGCCUGUGUUCCAUGAAUCUCCUGAAACAAGUUCAACUGCUCCAUUCUCUGAAUAACCAAAGCGACUCACCCUGCCCUCGUGCUGACGUGCGUUAUCGUUACCGAAUCUCCUUCCUUCCCGCUACACUAGGUAAUGACUUCCAGGAGAACGAAAAGUGGAUCCUCUCAAUGUACCCACUGAAACAACUAGUGUGAUACAGCAACUAGUGUGAAACAACUAGGUAAUGGUAACUACACAUUUAGAAAAAUCCUUCCUUUUUCUUUGUUUUGGAAUGUGGAGACAGUGAGGUAAGGAAUAUUUAAGUUAAAUGGUCGUAUUUCAUUUCCUUAAAGAUUACUGUGAUUUUACCGUUAUUAGCAAAAUAAGAGUUUACUAAAAUCGACUGACUCAUUCAUUUGGUAUUUGAUGGGCAUUCAACUACAUGCCAGAGAUCUGCUUCCUAAGGGGAACUUAAGAGCCCUUAAGGUACCCAGACCCAUCUCCCAGAGCUCCAGAUCCAUCUAUACCAGCUGCCUGUGGAACGUUCCUCUUGGGAUGGCCAGUGAGUACCUCAGUCUCAACAGGUAUAAAAUAAAUCUUACUUUUUCCUGCACACCAGCUCCUCCCACUCUCGUGUUUCCAACUCAGUUACUCAUCAUCCACUCAAGUGCUCAAGGCAGAAAUCUGGAAGUUAUCCUGAGGUCCUCCCUCUCCCUCACAUGCAAUUGCUCACCAGCUCCUGCUCAUGCUGCCUCCUGAAUACUUCUCAGCUUUGUACCUUCCUUUAUCUCUCAGUUUCCAUUCUUUUAAAUUCAGACAUUUAUCCUCUUUAUUUGCCAUAUUGCAUUAGUCUUCUAAAGAGCCUCUAGCUUCCAGACUCCCCGUUUUCAAACUGUCCUCCACCAUGCUACUAGAGUGAACUUUCUGGAUUACAGAUCUAAUUAUGUCAUAUACACAUUCCACACACUUCAAAUAUUUCCAUGGCUCCCUAUCAUUUAUAUAAAACCCAAAGGCUUAUAAAGUCCCAUAUAAUAUCCCCCUGGUCCGCCUGCCCAAAGCCCAUCUCCCCUCUGUUCCUAAGUACCAGCCCCAGCAACUGCUUUCCAUUUCCAUAUUGAGUUUUGCCUUUUAAACUGCUCCCUGCCUUUGUAGAAGCUCUUUUACCUCCCUAGAACGCCCAACCUUAAUCUCCCUCUUUCUUAUUCUUCACAGAGCUUACAAGCUUGCUUCGGAGCUGUAGUGUCUGGUUCUAAAUUGGGUUUAGUUUCCACCGCAUCUGUUUUCAGCCUUGGGGACAGUGUUUUACAUUCCACGUAGCUGCCUCAACCAUGUAGUUCUGUGUCUGUAUCUCAAAUGUACAUAAAUGAGAGUGUCUGCUCAUGUAUCUAUUGGGAACUUUAUAUUUUCUUGAUUUUGACUGGCGUUUCUAUCACACUAAAAAUUCUGGAUGUGACUCUGACAUUUUAAAAAGACAGUCACUGAAUACAGGGAAGAAAAAGUAGAAAUAAAGAGACGACUGUCUGAUGCUAUUAGCGCCUUUUAUGCUCUAGUGAUAUUUUCAGAAGAUUUGUCAGAAACCAAAAUAAAGGGCUGAUUUCCCUGCGAAGGCACUUUUUGAUGCUUUAUCUCUCUAGAAUUUCGAAUUAUUCAAAUUAAAUUAUUUACAUAUUGACAAAGGAUCCUAGGAAUCAGUGGUCUGCACUAUUCACUGAGAAAGUAUAUUUUAAAGGAUUUUGGAAAUGAUAGAAUACCAGAUUUAGAAUCAAAAUCUAGUUGUCACUCUGGCCAUGCUGCAGUUGCUUUCGCUCAGUCAUGGCUCUGUUCUGAGCUUCAGUUUCCUUGUUUGUAAAACGAGGGGAGUCGAAUUAAUUGAUUUUUCAAGUUCCUUUCAGGUCCGACAUUUCAAGACUUUAUGUGUGAACAUAAAGCUGGAGAACAAAUGCUGAGAAGGGAUGCCUGACAUCUGUGGUGAUCAACAAAGCCACUAACAGGCCUAAAUAUCAGAGCAUGAGACGAUCUACUCACCGUGGUGUUAAUGGGGCUUCCUGGAGUGCGGGCUUCAGCUUACAAGCCUUUCAGCAACAACCUCCUGUUUUAGAAACCCUAUUUUUUCUGAGGGCUUGCCCAUCAAACAGGUGGUAAAAUGGCUCAGAUCCAACUUCAAAGAGUCCUGGCCCACAUCGAAGGAGACUGCCCGUGAGCCAGAGGGGGAUCCUGCCUGUGAUGAAGGAAGGCAUGGCUUAACUAAAAGGGACAACAUUAACUUGAUUGCUAGAACCUGCACUGCUCACAUCAGAAUGAAGUUGAGAAAGAGCAUUUGGCUCAUCCCUUCUACUCUACAGAAGAGAAAACUGAAAGGAAGGAGACUCGCCCAGGCUGUGGCCCUUUCAGUGACACCACAUCCAAGCAAGGAUGCUGGACAGGUUGUGUGGUGUCUCUGGAUAAUGAUAACAAGAGAAUAGUAACUACCAGUUACUGAUCACUUUGUGACAGAUACUGGGGGACUCUUACUAUUUACAUUAUCUCAUUGAAUCUUUACAACAUCUCCGUGAGGCGAAAUUUGGUUUUGGUAAGUGAGAGAAUUGAGGCUGAGAGAGUAUAAGUUGGAAGAUUCACAGCUAGGAAAAUAUUAGAGCUGUGAUUAGCACCUACACCUGCCUGAACCCAAAACCAAGACUCUCCCAACAGAACGGGCAUGAAAGCCACCACCCUUUGUUGUAAUAGCUCCAGAGCCUUGUCACCAGGUACGUGUUUCUCCAGACACUGACGGAGCAGACGUUUAUAGCACAUUUACCAUGUGACAGUCACUGAGCCAGCACUGACAGUUAAAGAUGACAAGGAUGUAGUCCCAGUCCCCAUGGAGUGCCAGUUAGUAGCCUUUUUCUACAUUAGAGAAAUAAAGAAAAGGGAAAUGAGAGGGAAUGGGGUUCUUGGUAUAAAAAGCCCCAACCCUCAGAUUCCCCUCUCUGUGGCCCACAGGGGGAGCCGGUACUGAGCAAAGCCAACGAAUAAAAAGCCAGAGAAGAGAGAUCUCCACGGAAAACAGAGGGUAGCUUCCAGAUCAGCGAGACCCACCUGUCACAUGAGCUGUGAGCGGCGAGGACAGCUCCUCCACCGUUUCAAACAGUUUCUUGUAACCACCAGCAGGAUGCUCGACUCUGAAAUGGUGCAAUAAUGAGGAAGAGGCCCAUGCCAUACUCCAGGAAGUCCCUGGAGACAGAGGCAGAGCUGCAGGGGCAAAGGAGCUGGGAGACAACAGCUUUUUGGUUCAGUACCUCAUCCUUUGUUCACCCACGUUACACCAUCAUCCCUUUCUGUCGUCUCAUUUCUUCACCGAUCUCCAAGAGCCUCAGUGCUUUUGAAAAACAGUCAGACCAGGAGAUUCAGCUUUCAUCUUUUUGCUUAUUUCCUGCCUCUUCACUUUGGCUCCAUUUUGUAACUUCUUAGAGUGGGAACUCUGACCGGACCCCCUAAUUAUGAUCGUUUUCUUUUAUUAAGCACUCACUGUGUACCACACACUAUCAAAAGAACUUUGCAUGCCAUUAGCUCACUUAAAUCUCACACCACACAAUGGGGUAAGUACCUCUCUUAUACUCAUUCUAUAUAUGGAAAAAUCUAGACUUCAAAAAGUGAAGUAAUUUGCCCAAAAUCACACAGCUAGGAAAUGCCUGGGCAGGAAGUGGAACGCUGGCCUACCUCAUUGAAAUCUUCGCACUCACAGCUGCUUCGAAGCCCCAUUCUAAGUCACACAAAGCCCACUGUAAUUUAGACCUGAAUUCCAGAUAUUUGCUUCAAUGUAUAAAUAGGGAGAAAUUGCCCCCAGCAAGACCCAAGGCCCUCCCUAAACAGGUCAUCGGUCCUCUUCAGGAGCCCUUGAAAUAGCCCAUUUACCAUCUACCCACUAAGGCAUUUAAAAAAUCUCCCAGAGAUACUUACUGGAUGG